UGAUGUUGCAGAGGGUGUGAGAGGAGGAAGGAUACCCACCAUCACCUGCCAACCUCUGGUGAGCGUGCAAUGAAAUGCAACAGUCUUUAUCCCAUGCAGUCUUGAAACAUGGCUCUGCUUGUGUACUGCAGCGUGUGCCUAGGCAGGAAAGGCAAUCCGUUGUCUGACCGCUCUGGCUGCCAGCAUGGAGCCUUAUGCACACAAUUCUUGAGUAAGUCUUUUUGAUCGUAGUGGCCACUGGUGUAGCACCUGAAGGUCUGGUGUCUCCUGAAGUAGUUGUGUGUGUGAUGGAGUAGAGCCUUGUCUUUGGAGUUCUGGAGUCCCCUGCUCUCCCAGCUCUUAGCUCGGGUCCUUCCCUUGAUCUGCCUCUUGACUAUAGUGCUGCUAGCUGCUAGCUGGGGUCCUUCUCCCUUAUAAAAGAGCAUCUAGGUACUGGUUGUAUUGGUCCCAUUUCCAUCCAUGCCUGGGAUACUUCUUACACAGAAGAAAGAUUUGUUCUGUCUUAUAGUUUUGCGUCACGUUUGCCUGGCCUGGUACUUUGGGCCUAUGUUGGUAAAGUAUAUCAAGACGGGAGAGUACAGAAGAGGCCUGUUCACUGUUUUAUGACAAGAAGUCAGAGAGAGAUAGGGAAGAGCUGAGAUCCUGGCGUCCCCUUCAGGGAUACAUUUGCAGUGACCUGACAUCCAUCUGGCCCAACCCACUUAUGACCUCCAAAUAUUGCGACAGGUGUGUGGCUUCUCCCUUUAAUUUAGGCUUUUUAAAUUUCAAAUAAUAGUGCCCAUCACUGCCCAGAUCUGCAGGUCGCCUACCUGCCACCUGCAUUGGGUAUGGAGGACUCCUUUCAGUCAAGUGCUUGCCGGAUGAUCACUUGAACCUGUGCUUGAACUGCAGAAUAGUUUAAAAAGCUAGAAAUAUGGUGCGCAUUUGUAAUCCUGACCCUGGGGAAAUGUAGACAGGCAGGUGCCUGGGGUUCACUGUAUGGUCAGCUUAGCCUGCUUAGCUGCUUCCAUGCUAACGAUAGACCACGUCUCAUUAAAAAACAUAGUGCCUGUAGAAUGACACCCAAGGUUGUCCUUUGGCUGCACAUGUAUAGAUACAGAUGCACACAUUACUUUUAGUGAGACCUUCCAUGAGCUAACAUGGUAGUGCUGGAUGCUGAGGACUAACUCACAUAGUGGCUAAAUAUGAAGGCAUGCUGGCGUGCUUGUGUGUGUGUGUGUACAUGUAUUUACAUGCAUGUGUGUGAUGUGUGCCAGUGUGCGCAAGUACCUGUGCAUGAGCCAAUAUGGACACUGACAUAGAUUGUAGUGUCUAGAAAUGCAGUCAUAUAAACACAUGUAUAUUUGACUUAUAUAGAGUUUUGGUUUAAUAGAAAUAUUUUAGCGUUUUCUCACAGUUACUGAGAUUUAUUAAAACAACAGCAAAGCAUUUGGAUUUCUAGCUUUUUGUGAUAGCAACUAUAGUUUGCUGAGGGUGGGUGCUAUCACAUGUUAAAAUCAGAGUGCCCAUGAGGUAGUUUGUGUCAUAGUGGUCCCAUUAGGGCCAUGUGUCACCAUUCCCUGGUGCUGAGCCCUGCUUGCUUCAUUUGUUUCAGUGGCUACAUGGUCUCUUUAGCCACUUAAGUUUGCUGCCCUUCAGGGAAGGGUGGCCUGGGGUGUUUGCCCCAGGGUUCAUGGAGCAGGGACAUGGUUGGUAUUAGUGCUGAGUCCUGGCAGUGAGAUCUCUGGAAUGGGCUAGUAUCUUAAUCCCUGAAGUGUUUGGACCUUGCUGGAAGCUGUGUGUCCCAUUGGAACAAUGGCUCUGCAGAGAAGCACGCUCACGGGGUGAUUACAAGGCUUAUAAUGUUGUCUUUAAAUUCUUGGUGAGUUGUAGCAACAUGACUGCAUAGGACCCUCUGAGACAUUGCAGCGUUUUAAUAACACUUCCCUGCUACACGUAAGGCCUCAGUUUUACUUUUAUUAAUUUAAUUUUUUUUUUUCUGUGUGAGGCAGGAGGUACCCUGAGCUGUGCGGCUCAGUCUCUAGCUUCACUCUACUCUGCCUCAGGGAAGCUGCCUGGCUCUCUCCCUCCUUGAGGCAGAGGCUCUAGGGUCAAGUCCUGUCUGCUAGGAGUUUACAAGGUCUCACCCACUCCUGCUGUCCUGAACAUGCCUGCUCAUUACCUUCCCUGCUUCAACCCAGCCUGCCAAACACCCAUGAUAUCACCUCCCUCCUCCAGCCCUAGCUGAUGCCACCAUACCUGAGCCUCAUUUCCACAGUGAUAUGAAAAGAAAAACCAAGUCAGAGGGUGACAGUGUCCCCAUUUCUAGAGGUGCUCCUCGCUGCCGCUCACAGAGGGGUAAGAGGUAUUUAUUGUUUCAGUUCUCGUGACAGCCGGCUGGCUCCCUCACAUCCAACAUGUGGAUUCAUACAUGUUAUCGUUCAUGCACACAUGUAAACUUCCCACCAUUCGCACAUCUAUUUGCUCGUCCUUUGGUCUGUAUUUCAGUUGUAUUAAGUCAGACUUGUCCCUGUAACACAGACACAGCUGAGAAAUGAGAGCUGGACACCCAGCCAAGAAUUGCCCUUCCAGAAGGGUGGGUUAAGUCUGUGGCGAGCUCCCCUUGAAUCUCAGGAUUCCUUAAGAAGCUCUCCAGAUCGAGCCCAUUGCUGUUUUCCGGGAAGUUCAGAAGGCAGCACAUUGGAUGGCUGAACUGUGGGCUUCUAGCAGCAAGAUGCCAGAGGCUGCUGCUGCCGCUGCCACUGAUGCGGGUGGUAACUCUUGGAAUGGUGCGGUUCAUGGUCUUGCUACUGCAAGCCCCGAUGUAGGCAGAAGAGAGUUUGAAUUUCUUUGUUUACCACUACUGCUCUUGUGAGCCAGCCUGUGCUUGUGCUUCUUUCCCCAGUGUGGGUCUCUUAUAGGUGGGGUGGCAUUCUAACGUCCAUUUGUGUCUGGGUCCACCACUGAGAAAUGGCUGCUUGCUUUAUUGAAAUGAAUGGCUGCCUUUCCAUAUCUUUUUACACCCGGCACAUUGUGUGCUUAGAAAAGGAUAUCCUCUACCUUCGUUGUCAUGAAAAUUGAGAUCAGUGACUUGCUCCAUUCUGGAGCCUUGCACAAAGCAGCGGCCUGGUGGCCCCUCCCUGCACUCCCUGGGGUUGACUUUCUAUCAGAAUAUGGCCUAAAUCUUCCUUGCGAACCCAGGCUGCCUGCCUGUCCUCUCUCAGCCCUUUGGACUUGGGAACUUAUCUGAUCCAGGGAAGAGCUUUGGUCCUCCCAGCCUUAGGGGUGGACCCCCAUGAAUACAAUUAUGAAGGUUAACAGGAAAACUGGGGUCCCCGAGCAGUCCCAGGCGGUCGGCAGCCAUGCCGCACUGGAAGUGUCCCACCAAUGAAAACUGCAGCGAGAAACAGAUUAAACCUCCUAUCUGCCAUCUCACUCUCUUUUCUCCCCUUUCCUGUUUGGACUUGAAAGUCGAUUGGAGCCAGGGCCCUGACAGUUGACGGAAGUGCUGCAAGGAGAGAAUAUUUAUUUACAGUGAGUUGAGGCCGAUGCUUGUUCAGGAUGCGGUUUCUUGCAGGAAGUUUGGUCCCCCACCCCUGGGUUUGAUCAUUUCUCC
rnacentral:lncRNA from 1 species